rnacentral:rRNA from 1 species
UGCGAAGGGGGCUAGCGUUGUUCGGAAUUACUGGGCGUAAAGCGCACGUAGGUGGCUUUGUAAGUUAGAGGUGAACGCCCGGGGCUCAACCCCGGAAUUGCCCUUAAGACUGCAUCGCUUGAAUUGUGGAGAGGUGAGUGGAAGUCCGAGUGUAGAGGUGAAAGUCGUAGAUAGUCGGAAGAACACCAGUGGCGAAGGCGACUCACUGGACACAUAUUGACACUGAGGUGCGAAAGCGUGGGGAGCAAACAGG